GGCUCAGAACGAACGCUGGCGGCGCGCCUAAUACAUGCAAGUCGAGCGAGAAGACGUAGCAAUACGUUUGUAAAGCGGCGAACGGGUGAGGAAUACAUGGGUAACCUACCCUCGAGUGGGGAAUAACUAGCCGAAAGGUUAGCUAAUACCGCGUACGCUUCUUGGACUUCGGUUCAGGGAGGAAAGCGCUACCGAGGGUAGCGCGCUCUUGGAUGGGCUCAUGUCCUAUCAGCUUGUUGGUGAGGUAAUGGCUCACCAAGGCUUUGACGGGUAGCUGGUCUGAGAGGACGAUCAGCCACACUGGCACUGCGACACGGGCCAGACUCCUACGGGAGGCAGCAGUAAGGAAUAUUGCGCAAUGGGCGAAAGCCUGACGCAGCGACGCCGCGUGGGGGAUGAAGGUCUUCGGAUUGUAAACCCCUUUCGGGAGGGAAGAUGGAGCGAGCAAUCGUUCGGACGGUACCUCCAGAAGCAGCCACGGCCAACUUCGUGCCAGCAGCCGCGGUAAUACGAAGGUGGCAAGCGUUGUUCGGAUUCACUGGGCGUACAGGGUGUGUAGGCGGUUUGGUAAGCCUUCUGUUAAAGCUUCGGGCCCAACCCGGAAAGCGCAGAGGGUACUGCCAGGCUAGAGGGUGGGAGAGGAGCGCGGAAUUCCCGGUGUAGCGGUGAAAUGCGUAGAGA
rnacentral:rRNA from 1 species